rnacentral:tRNA from 1 species
GGUCCUGUGGUCUAGUGGUAUGAUUCUCGCUUUGGGUUCCCUCAAAACCUAAAUUGGCCUGCGAGAGGCCCCGCGUUCGAAUCGCGGCAGGACCC